rnacentral:misc_RNA from 1 species
CUCGAAGUGAAGAUAUAGAAAGAAGUGGAAGCAGAGUGAAAACAGAGAAGGAGAUAGUGAAAGAGCUAAAAGAAAUGAAGAGGCAGAAUUUCAUAACUCACUGCCUUGUUUCAGCAAUGAUUAUCCUCACUGUUGCUUGGCAAAUCUCUGAGGUAUCUUUCAUUUUGAAACUCAGAGAUGGUUUGAGCAAUCCAUUCAAAUCCCUGG